GUAAAAAGAUAGCUAUUACAAUUUUUUUUCCCGCUAAUAUGAUAGCUAGUCAAUGUAACAUUAGCUUCCUCACUGGAAAAUCAUCAUUAGUAUCAGGAUUUUAUCCCCCUGUUCAUCUAGAAUCAGAAUAAUGAAGCAAAAGCAGAAGCAUAAUCUCAUACAAUUCCCCUGAAGCAAAAGCAGAAGCAUAAUCUCAUACAAUUCCCCUGAAGCAAAAGCAGAAGCAUAAUCUCAUACAAUUCCCCUUACUUCCCAAACAAGAGUGCAUAGCAUUCAUUGGAACCACUCCACAUAUUGGAAAAUCAGGUGGUGUAUCUUCCUAUAUUUACAUAUUCUUCUAUUUUUCUGAAAUUAUUUUUUAGGAGUUUCUUAUUAACUGAUACUACAGCAUGUGCUAACUGAUUUCAAUUUCAUACAGCGAUUUUGAUUACUAAGUAUGGAGAAGUCUAUAAUUUCCACUGAACUAUAUGUCAAUUCAAUACACUUGAGGAUCAAGUAGUAGUUAGUUAUAGAAUGCUUUGAGCUUCUGCUCAGAAUCCCUCCGGGUUCACGAAUUCCAGAAAAGUGCAGCCUUAAGAGUCAGUUAACACUUUGAGGAUCAGGUAGUUAGUACUCCUCUUCAAGCUUGAGAAGCUGAUCAAAUGUAGUGGAGGGCUUCGUUGGAUGCAUGUUUCCGUACAAAGUUGAGAAUUGGGUGGUUUCUAGUUCUCACCCCCUUCCUCAUUUACAGUCACCACUAAUAUCAAUGUGAUUGUCAGGCGUUUUGACAGUGAUGGAGAAAAGAGAACUGUUUUCAUUCUAUAAUUAAUGCAGAGUUCUUUCUUUUUUCUUUUUCUUCUUUUGCACACCCAUUUAUGAAGGAGUUGGCUGUAAAAUGUUAUAUUUGAGCCCUGAUAUCUAUGAAAGCAGGAGCAUGAUUUAGAUGGGUACAGAAGAACUUAUCUGAACUUGAAGGAACCAUGCACAAGCAUUUUUCAGUGUAGAACCAUUUUAGGUAUGUUCCCUUUUUGAGUUUUUCAUCUAGGGAACCGUUAUUACCAAACGUACCUAACUUAGAUCAGGAAAGAAAUUUUGUGAAUGGCUUGAACACAAAGAUCAGAUACCUCAAAGCAUCUGACCAUGUACAGAUGAGGACAGGAUAGAGAAAAUCUCCAUAAAGGUUGGGAAUUAUGCGUGCUUGAGUUAUGAAAAAGAGGAAUUGUCUUUAUUACUCCAAAAACUUGGGGAAUCAGAUGCCUUUGUUAAUCCUCCUUGUGAACGGUCUACCCCUAUUAAUGAGCCCAUUAAUAGUGCUUUGCUUGUCGGAUUGCUGUUCAAUCCUCCUUGCACGUUACGUUAGGCUUAAGCAUGUGAGCCUAUGCAUCUGGAUGUGCGUAUGUGCAUACCUAUGAGAUUAUUUGCGUGCACGCAUGUUUUGUACCAUGUGUUCAUGUCAUAUUGCUGUCAGCUCAUGGGAGUUUCAUACUUUAUGUUUGCCAUGUCUUCUUGCUUUUGCCUUGUUUUGUCGUGCAUGUCUUCCUGCCUACUCGCCAACAAUGAUUGUGUGCUAAGCAGGAUGGUAACCAUGCCCCUUCACGAUCGUGGAUUGCCGACCACCCAUCAACAUCCAAGGUAUGUUUAGUCCCUUACCACCUUUGUCUACUUGUCUGCCUUGUCUUUUGCUCUUUAGUGUGUUGCCCCACCACACCGUGUCACUAACUCAUGUAAGUCCCAUCUUGCAUGUUUCAAGAUCGAGAUCUCCUAACAAACCUCCUUCCCUUGAGCCUGUCAAUGCCUUCAUUGGAUCUAUCCUCAACUAGCACUCAUAUCUAGUCUUCAAAUUGUCAGUGUCACAUCUCUAUCCCAAGAAAGCUCUAUGUCAUCUUCGCCUUUCCAUUUUACCAAGUAAUCAGUCCGUUGACAAUUGUUUAAUGGCCAAGGAUUUUCUCAACCUUCCUCUCAAAACACUUUUUAAUCAUAGUUGGAACUCGCCUUGUUUGUUUUUGAUCCUGGUCAAUUUUCAACUUGUUGGGAAGUUUCAGAUGAUAAGCCACGUUGUGCACUUGUUUGAUCACUUCAAAGGGUCUGUCAUACCUCAACACUAAGGCUUUUGUGCACUUUGUGCACACUUGUUGCAUAGUUUCUUCCACAUAUGCCGACUCACCUAAACUGUAUGAGUGCUUCUUCCUUGAAGUCCAAGGUCGUCUCCAAGUUGUCUCAAGUUAAGUCCAUUUUCUACUUAUCACCAACAAAAUGAUAAGCAGGCUGGACACCUUCUUCCUCAUGUGUUGUUUCCUUACCUCUUAAGGACAUAGAGUAUUGAGUAUUCCUCAUGUGUCGUUUUGUUACCUCUUAAGGACAUAGAGUAUUGAGUAUGUUGUUCUGUCACUAAUUUUGAAAGAAAAAGGAAGGGAAAUUGUCCCACAUCACAUCACUUAGGUUGAGAAGGGGUGAAUUGACCUCUACUAUAAAAGGGAGGUCUCUUGCUUCAUUUCAUCAUCCCACUUGCACGGUUUGAAGCCAAACAAAGAACACACUUUCUGACAGCUUUUGGCCGGCAUUUCGGUUGAUUUGGCUUGGAUCUGGUAUACUCGAAUUUUUUCCUAUUAGUUUUAGCUCUUUGAAAGUGCUUAAGGUUAGUAUAACUACCUUUUAGCUAGUUUAAAUUAUUUUAUGCAAACUUAGGUUCAAUUAUUUCAAAGAGCAGUGUUAAGUCGGCAUCAAGCAUCAAGGGGUCAUAGUAACUUCGGCCUAGGCCAAUCAAUGGAAACUUGGUGUUAAUGCCUUGGAGCCCAGUAGCGCUGUCACUGCCUCCAUUAACACCCGGUUCUUUGUGAGGCCUGGAAUAUUACCUAGGAGGUAACUCAGGAAUCAAACAUUCCUUAAUUCAUUCUCGUUCACCGUCAGUCAAUACUCAAGCAAGAUUCAUUCUCCUUACUUAACUCCUAUUCAUUCUUGACUCAUUGCCUGAUUUCUUUCUCGUCAGGUUCAGGAGCUCUGUUCUGUCUAAUUCUUGAGGAAAAGAGGAUAGGUUCAGGCAAUGGAAUUGUUCAACCGAGUUGGAGAGGUGAAUGAGUUUACAUUUACGCUUGGUGAGUCUAUUUGUUUAAAGCCUAUUUACUUAUAACUGACGAGCUCUGAUCUUUUAUAUAUUUUUCCAGUAGUAAUUCUAGGUACUAUUGCAUGUAACGUGGGUUUAGCGGUUCUAGAACCAUCAAUGAUUGGUGAACUCGCAGAUCCAUUUGCAACUCCUUUGGAAAUAUUGCCCGCCGGCGGCGGACUCAAGUGCCCCCAGAACCGUGCGAAAUGGUCGCAUUAGCGGAUUCAUUUUCUGUGGUUUCCCUGAUCAAACUAGAAGUUACCAAGGAACCAUGCAUAGCACUGAAUAGGGAGCCGCCGAAUACACCAGCUACACCUAACA